AGCUCACGCUGCAGGCCAUCAAGGACACAGAGGCCCAGGUGGACAGGCUGCGGCAGGAGGCCCAGAAGGCCGAGGCGCUGGCUAUGGCCAGGCUGGAGCUUCGGGAGCAGACGCAGGAGGGAGGAAGAGGCGCCCGGGCUGAAGUGCCAGGUCACCGAGCUGCACGAUGUGCUGAUGAAAGAUGUAGGCAACCGCAUCCGUGCCGACGGCCGGUCAGUUCUCCGGGCCAGACGUGGGUGAUUUGGGGUUUGGACAGACAGCAGUGACCUGAUGGGUGUCCCCAGGUGGCCUCUUGUUAUUGACCCUUCGGGCCAGGCGGCCACCUUCCUGCGCUACCAGGAUACCAACUAUGUGGACACGGUGAACCCGGAGCACCUGAGGCCGGAGAGGAUGCGGCUGGUUCUGCUGGGGGCUCUGCGGUGA
rnacentral:sRNA from 1 species